rnacentral:lncRNA from 1 species
CUCCCUGCUUCUAGCCCUCUUUUAGGUUCGUCACCCUUUUGAGGUCAGAACCCAUAUUUCUGUUACACGAAUGGUGUCAGACAAUGAGGUGCCUAAUUCCUUGGUCAGGUUUUUUGUUUGUAUUAAAAGUUUCUUGCCUGACCUUCAUGCCUAGUUAGGCUUCCAAUAAUUCUACUAGAUGAGAUUUAUUAUCUAUAUUUCCUUACCCAGUACUUUAAAAUGUAUAGAUCAUAUUUCUGCAAUCUUCUUGGAGCUAUAGUUCUAAACAGACAAGAAAGAAGCAUGUGGCUCAGCUUGACUCAAAAUGCAGUUUCAAAGGAGUGAUGACGUACAUUGUUUCCGCAAAAGGCAGGUGAAAGACCAGAAUAAGAAGGUAGCGAAUCUGAAGCACAAGGAGCAGGUGGAGAAGAAGAAAAGUGCGCAGAUGCUGGAGGAGGCCCGGAGGAGGGAGGACAGUCUCAGCGACAGCUCUCAGCAGCUGCAGGACAGUCUCCGUAAGAAGGAUGACAGGAUUGAAGAGCUGGAAGAAGCACUGAGAGAAAGUGUACAGAUAACUGCAGAGCGGGAAAUGGUGCUGGCACAAGAGGAAUCAGCCAGGAC